rnacentral:rRNA from 1 species
CCUACGGGAGGCAGCAGUGGGGAAUCUUCCGCAAUGGGCGAAAGCCUGACGGAGCAACGCCGCGUGAGUGAAGAAGGUCUUCGGAUCGUAAAGCUCUGUUGUCGGGGACGAAAGGGUAGACGAGGUAAUGCGUUUACUAAGACGGUACCCGACGAGGAAGCCACGGCUAACUACGUGCCAGCAGCCGCGGUAAUACGUAGGCGGCAAGCGUUGUCCGGAAUUAUUGGGCGUAAAGGGAGCGCAGGUGGGACGGUAAGUCCGUCUUAAAAGGCAGGGGCUCAGCCCCUGUAAGGGAUGGAAACUAUCGAUCUUGAGUGCCGGAGAGGAAAGCGGAAUUCCCAGUGUAGCGGUGAAAUGCGUAGAUAUUGGGAAGAACACCAGUGGCGAAGGCGGCUUUCUGGACGGCAACUGACACUGAGGCUCGAAAGCCAGGGGAGCGAACGGGAUUAGAUACCCGGGUAGUC